UACGUAGGGGGCGAGCGUUGUCCGGAUUCAUUGGGCGUAAAGCGCGCGUAGGCGGCUUCGCAAGUCGGCCGUGAAAUCUCCGGGCUCAACUCGGAGGGGUCGGGCGAGACUGCGAGGCUCGAGGUGGGCAGAGGGCAGUGGAAUUCCGGGUGUAGUGGUGGAAUGCGUAGAGAUCCGGAGGAACACCAGUGGCGAAGGCGGCUGCCUGGGCCUGGCCUGACGCUGAGGCGCGAAGGUCAGGGGAGCAAACGGG
rnacentral:rRNA from 1 species